GUAAAAUUUGCAUUUUUUUCAUUGUUUUUGGCUUAUAUUUUCUUAUUUUUCGUUUAGGUCAUUUGUCAUCGCUUUCAAUAUUCAGAAGUCAGAUCUUCAUCUUCAUGCAUUCCUCUUUUUCUUUUUUAUUUUAUUCACUGAAACAUGUUGGAGUUUGGGAAAUGAUGAAAAAAAAAGAAAAAGAUAAAUACAGGUAAGCAGAAGGCUCCAAUGGGUGAGCUAUGCUGAAUGUUUUUGCACGUCAGUCUGAUCCCAAAACUCUGUUCAUGUCUUUGUCUUUUUUCUGCCCCUUCGCGGUGUCUGUUCCCCCUUUGUGGUCGCUAUCUUUCCCUAUGCCCAGGUCUGGUGCUAAAAUACGCUGGUGUGCCUAUCUUCCAACAGAGGGCGUUAGCGCAGAGGCCCCGCGACAGGGAGCGUUCCCCCUCUUUGUUCUCGAUCUUGGACCCUUGUGUGGAAGUCUACGCCAAGCUGUCACUCUCCCUACCUUCUCGGUUACCUGUUUCAUGUUCCCCCAUCUUAUAAUUUCGAGGAGUUGAUAUCCGUGAAGGUAACAUGCUUGUGGACGGUCGAGAGCUCUGAGGAGAUUCCCCCAGCUAAAGCCAUUUUUCAUUGCUGGCAAAGUUUAUUGUCUUUUGCUCUGCUCUGUUUCUCCCUUUGCUCUACUGGAAGACCCAAAUCACUUGCUCGUGGACAUUUUAUAUUCCUACCCUGUUCUUUUGCCUUAUUUAUCACCACUUGGGUUUCAUCUCUUCCCCACAAAUAUAAGAAUGUGGAACCCUGGUGGACUCUGAUCCUCCAUCAAAUCACAUGGACCCCACAUACCUCCAUCUCUUUGUCGGACUACUCUGAUCUUGCACAUGCAUGUAUGCUUUGGGACGGUCCAGUGCUGAUUAGUGAUUUUUCUUCCCCACCAGCACUUAACAUUAUCAUAAGCUACAUUGAAUUCCCAAGCCACCUUUCUCUUUCAAAUCUCCUUCUUCCCCACUAUAUAAGAAGGAGGCUAUCGAGUCUGUGUCUAACAGUACAAUAUUAAUUGAUUUCUUUCUUGGGUGGAUAAGCUCUAUAUGAGUAGCUGGUCAUCCCAUUGAAAUUUAAUGGGUCAAUGGGUGUCUUUGAUGUUGCCUUGUUUUUUCCGUUAGAAUUGAUGCUGUUCUGUUGACAUAACUUUUCUAAUUAAUUGGACAUUGGAUUUUUGAAUU